AUCGUAAAUAACUGUGGAAAUUUUUUGCUACUGUAUGUGAUUUGCACAUGGCAUGAGGAUGAAAAGGAGUUGCGAACUCACUCCCCAUGUGCCACCCCGGUAUCCCCUUCCCAGUUGGCUCUCAGUCACUGUGCGCGGAUGGAUUCGCUUCUCGGAUGCAGAGCUGCGCCUUAAAUGCGAUCCUCAGAUGUUGCUGUGGAUGUUGCUGUUGCUGUUGGUGUUGCUGUUGCUGCGGUUGCUGUUGUUAUCUCUGACGUUGGCAAUCGGUGCCAUUGCACACACAUUUCGCCGACCUAAUCCACUGUGAUUCAGUGGGGAUGGGGAAAUGGUCCGACGACUGGUCGGAUGGCUGGAUGGCUGGCUGUUAAGGCCUCUUUAUAUGCGCACCUUAAAAAACAACAACAAGAUGCUUAAUGCUGUUUUCUGUUUUGUAUUUUUUUGCGUUGCCUCAUGAACGGGGCACACUUAUUGCCACGCAGUCGAAGAUACAGCGAACACACUCACCAGAUACAGAUACAGAUGCAGGGGGCAUAGGCUUGAAACCGGAGUUGGAGCCGCGGACUGGAGUUGAAGUUACAGCUUCAAGCUUGAUCUAAAGUGAGAGAAAAAAAUGUUAAAGAUUUAAAAAAUUAAACAAAAAAAGUAAAG